UACGGAGGGGGCGAGCGUUAUUCGGAAUUAUUGGGCGUAAAGGGCGCGUAGGCGGCCUUGUAAGUCAAAGGUGAAAUCCCUCGGCUCAACUGAGGAACUGCCUUUGAAACUGCAAGGCUUGAGGCCGGGAGGGGGUAGCGGAAUUCCCAAUGUAGCGGUGAAAUGCGUAGAUAUUGGGAGGAACACCAGUGGCGAAGGCGGCAUCCUGGACCAAUACUGACGCUGAGGAGCGAAAGCCAGGGGAGCAAACGGG
rnacentral:rRNA from 1 species